rnacentral:rRNA from 1 species
UGGGGAAUAUUGGACAAUGGGGGCAACCCUGAUCCAGCCAUGCCGCGUGAGUGAUGAAGGCCUUCGGGUUGUAAAGCUCUUUUGGCGGGGACGAUGAUGACGGUACCCGCAGAAUAAGCCCCGGCUAACUUCGUGCCAGCAGCCGCGGUAAGACGAAGGGGGCAAGCGUUGUUCGGAAUUACUGGGCGUAAAGGGCGCGUAGGCGGUUUGCUUAGUCAGGCGUGAAAGCCCUGGGCUUAACCUGGGAUGUGCGCUUGAUACUGGCAGGCUUGAGUGCGGCAGAGGGGGGUGGAAUUCCACGUGUAGCAGUGAAAUGCGUAGAGAUGUGGAGGAACACCGAUGGCGAAGGCAGCCCCCUGGGCCUGUACUGACGCUCAUGCACGAAAGCGUGGGGAGCAAACA